GCACAGUACUGAUCGCAGUGCGAGUGGGUGGGCCUCGAGUGGGUGGGCCUCCGUAGGGAGCCAGCGUGGAUCGAGUGCGGGGGCUGGACUUCCCGCCCCCUCCGCACUGUAGACUCCGCGGUGAUUUAAAGGUGCCUGGCGGUGGUACGGAAUCCAACUGUAAAAUGUCAUCCCAGCUAGUGUGACAUCACCACAGUCUAGUGUGACACCCCCAGAGCUUGGGCAGUGUACGGGAGGACUGCCUAGCAGAGGAGCUCCACUGCCGGUGAGGGAUUACCUCAGAAACUUCCUUAUACUACUUAAAGAACUUAAAGUCUUAACAUUGGGCUGACCUGGGAAACAUGAAGACAGAAAGAGUGGGUAAACAUGCCUGCUUGAUGAGCCAGAAUAAAAGGCAGAAACCUGUGGUCUGUGUAGAACAGAUCCUGCUCAGAAUGUAAGCUUCAAACAUGUUUAUCAUACCUUGGUUCAACCUAACUCUCUGACAUGUUCCUAAACUCCUGCUCUCUCAAGUUAUGUCCCUUUCCUCUUUUCAAAUAUCUCUCAGAAUUCACCCUUUCGGGAACCUUUGCUGAUUGACUCCUAUUUUAUUUGAAUUCUGCAUCAUCAUCUGAUUACUUAAAUUAACCUGUACCUUCUUUAUUUAUACUUGUUAACCUCUAUUUUCAUUGCUCUUAGGUCCUCAGUCUUUCUCACUAUACGGAGAGCUUCUUAAAGUCUGUAUUUUCUCCUCUUUAGUAUCAUUCACUCAUCCAGCAAACUGCUUGUGUGCCUGCUCUGUGCUAUACACUCUUCUAGACACUGGGUCAGGUAUGAGUGAGACAGGUGAAUAAAGGAUGGUCUUUUCCCUCAGGGACCUUACAGUCUAAUGAGGAAAAAACGUGUGCAGACAUAUGUAAGAUAAGUGAGAGAGUCGGAGAAGAACAUCAGAAGUGAUAUUUGAGCAUAGUAAGGUCAAAGAAGUUUCAAAGUUUAGUCAUUUGUCCAUUCAGUAACUAUUUAUAGAGCAUCUUCUGUGUGCUAGGCACUAUAUAAGAAAUU
rnacentral:sRNA from 1 species